rnacentral:other from 1 species
AUCAGUCUGCGCAUCUCGAUAACCCUCUGUCUAAAUAACCCGAACAAUUUUUAUAUAUUAGGGAAUCAGACUCUGACUCGUGGGAAUGCAGACCUCCCUCUUUGAGGACGCUGGGAGCACAAAGCCUGUCAGGUGAUGCCCACCUGCUUUAACUGCAGGUUAUAUUCGACACCGGGCGGAUGUGCGGACGAUUA